AAUUCAUGAUGUGGACAUUUACUCUAUAGCUUCUUAAAUCGCUCCCAAACUUCAUAUAGUGAUUCACCUUUCUAUUGAUGAAAACCAGUUAUUUCCGUUCACAUUUU